rnacentral:lncRNA from 1 species
CGAAAAAUAUUGAAGAAGAAAACUUGUAAAAUAAAAUUAGGGCUUUCUGCACUAAGGUAAAAGACAAGUGAAAAAAUUUGAAAAAAUUUUUGAAUGCAAAAUAGGUGGUCUAUAUUCGCUUGAGUGUGCACUUGAUUAUGCGACCCCACACACUCAAGCGAAUCUAAACAAUUCGUUUUAAAUUCGGAGAACUUUUAUUCAAC